rnacentral:rRNA from 1 species
AUACGGAGGAUCCGAGCGUUAUCCGGAUUUAUUGGGUUUAAAGGGAGCGUAGAUGGAUGUUUAAGUCAGUUGUGAAAGUUUGCGGCUCAACCGUAAAAUUGCAGUUGAUACUGGAUAUCUUGAGUGCAGUUGAGGCAGGCGGAAUUCGUGGUGUAGCGGUGAAAUGCUUAGAUAUCACGAAGAACUCCGAUUGCGAAGGCAGCCUGCUAAGCUGCAACUGACAUUGAGGCUCGAAAGUGUGGGUAUCAAACAGGAUUAGAUACCCUGGUAGUCCGCACAGUAAACGAUGAAUACUCGCUGUUUGCGAUACACUGUAAGCGGCCAAGCGAAAGCGUUAAGUAUUCCACCUGGGGAGUACGCCGGCAACGGUGAAACUCAAAGGAAUUGACGGGG